rnacentral:rRNA from 1 species
CUCGCCUUCUGCCAGCGCACCGGUGGAUCCCAAUUCUGGCAGGCGGUGAUUCAGCUCCUCCCUAUCCUCCGAAUUGGUACCUCCAUCUCGGUGGGCUCAGGAUCUGCGACGUUGUUUUGGUUCGACCGUAUUGGGGACUCCCCCCUUGCCGCUCGUUUCCCGGAAUUAUUCUCCAUCGCGGUUGACCCUAGGGUCUCCGUCGAGACGGCCCUUAUUGACUUAGGGCGGCUCACCUUCCGUCGCCCCUUUGGCCCACUCGAGGUGGCCGCGUGGGAUACCCUCCUCCAGUCCAUCGCUCUCCAAUUGUUAGAUGUGGACAGCUUGCCCGACUCCGUGUCAUGGCGUUUGGAGCCCUCGGGGCGUUUCUCCACGAAGUCCUUAUAUCCGGCCAUUGCCUCGACUCCUGAGCCGUUUAGCCUGAUUUGGGACAUCCGCCUACCGCUGAAGAUCCGGAUCUUCAUGUGGCAGUGGAUCCGUGGCCGCCUCCCUUCUGGGGUUGAGGUCCUCAAGCGCAAUGGUCCGGGAGAUGGGAUGUGUCCCCUGUGUGGCACGGCGGAGGACGCCAACCACAUCUUCUUCUCCUGCGUACGGCCCAAUUCCUGUGGACCUGCGAUACGGUCGGUGGUCAUUGGUGUAACACCAACUUCCCGGACUUGCUGGCGGAAUCCACGCCUCUGCCCCCCGCCACCGCCACAUUAG